CAGUAGCCACGGGAAUACGGAGGGGGCUAGCGUUGUUCGGAAUUACUGGGCGUAAAGCGUGCGUAGGUGGUGGUUUAAGUCCGUUGUGAAAGCCCGGUGCUCAACACCGGAACAGCCCUUGAGACUGGAUAACUUGAAUCCAGGAGAGGUGAGUGGAAUUCCGAGUGUAGAGGUGAAAUUCGUAGAUAUUCGGAAGAACACCAGUGGCGAAGGCGGCUCACUGGACUGGUAUUGACGCUGAGGUGCGAAAGCGUGGGGAGCAAACAGGAUUAGAUACCCCCGUAGUCCCUGUCUCUUAUAA
rnacentral:rRNA from 1 species